GUAAUCACUUGUCCUUUAAAUAAGGACUAGUAUGAACGGCUUCACGAAGGCUAUACUGUCUCCUUAGUCUAAUCAAUUAAACUAAUCUCCCCGUGAAGAAGCGGGGAUUCAUUUAUAAGACGAGAAGACCCUAUGGAGCUUUAAACAUCUAAGACACUUGAUUACACCUACUAAACUUCAUGCAACCUAUCAUUUUGUCUUAAGUUUUAGGUUGGGGUGACCACGGAGAAAAAUUGAACCUCCAUGUAGAAAGAAAAUUCUUUUCUAAGCAAAAAGCCACAUCUUAACGCAUCAAUAUAUUGACUUAAAUUGACCCAAUUUCUUGCUCAACGAACCAAGUUACCCUAGGGAUAACAGCGCAAUCCGCUUUAAGAGCUCCUAUCGACAAGCGGGCUUACGACCUCGAUGUUGGAUCAGGGUAUCCUAAUGG
rnacentral:rRNA from 1 species